AAUGAAUGAUGACAAAAUGUUUUGGUCCCAAAUGAUACUGAUAUACUGAUUAUACUGUUAGGUUUAUUUCUGACAUU
rnacentral:snoRNA from 10 species